rnacentral:rRNA from 1 species
UACGUAGGGUGCGAGCGUUAAUCGGAAUUACUGGGCGUAAAGCGUGCGCAGGCGGUUUUGUAAGCCAGAUGUGAAAUCCCCGGGCUUAACCUGGGAAUGGCAUUUGGGACUGCAAGGCUUGAGUGCGGCAGAGGAGACUGGAAUUCCUGGUGUAGCAGUGAAAUGCGUAGAUAUCAUGAGGAACAUCAGUGGCGAAGGCGGCUCUCUGGUACACUUCUGACGCUCAGACGCGAAAGCAUGGGGAGCAAACAGG